rnacentral:rRNA from 1 species
GACAGAGGGUGCAAACGUUGUUCGGAAUUACUGGGCGUAAAGCGCGUGUAGGCUGUUUUGCAAGUCGGGUGUGAAAGCCCAGGGCUCAACCUUGGAAGUGCACUCGAAACUGCAAGACUAGAAUCUCGGAGAGGGUAGCGGAAUUCUGGGUGUAGAGGUGAAAUUCGUAGAUAUCCAGAGGAACACCGGUGGCGAAGGCGGCUACCUGGACGAGUAUUGACGCUGAGACGCGAAAGCGUGGGGAGCAAACAGGAUUAGAUACCCCUGUA